rnacentral:misc_RNA from 1 species
AACGCACGAGACCUGCGGACCUGCGGAAGGAUCAUUAAUGAGAAGCUGCCCCUCGUGGGUAGACCUCCCACCCUCUGUGAACUUACUUUUGUUGCUUUGGCAGGCCCGUCCUCUGGACCGCCGGCUUCGGCUGGCCCGUGCCUGCCAGAGGAUUCCAAACCCUGUCUGUCAGUGUUGUCUGAGUCUAUAUGAAAUCGUUAAAACUUUCAACAAUGGAUCUCUAGAUCGGAAGAGCACACG